rnacentral:lncRNA from 1 species
UGAUUAGAAAUCGAAUUUUAAAAUUAAAUCACAAAGAAGAAAUCAGCUGAUGAUCUUCAUAUACCAGUCCAACACAACCUGCAACUGCAAGCCAAACCUAAUAAAAGAAGAUGAAAUUUGAAUUUAAGGAGCAUACAAAAACCUAAUGAAGCCAUGCACGCCCAUGAAAGAAAGAAAGAAAGAAGAAGACGAGAGAUGAUGAGGAGAGAGAGGAACGAUCGGAAAGCUAUGGAAUGGGUGGAGUAGGGAAGAUAACAAACAAAACGAAAGCCCCACAGUUAUCUUCCCCACUUACCCAUCUCAUAACCUUCCGAAAAUCCUUGCUUUUUCUCCAUUUCCUCUUCAAUCCUGUCUCUCUUUUGUUCACUUGCCUCUGUAUAUAUAUUGCUGUCAACUAUCAACCCUACCUACUUUAGAUAUCCACCAUUGGAUUGGAUUCACCUUGGACAUCAUUUCGCUUUCUUGGUUUAGGUUCUUGACUUUUUGGGCAAGAAUCAUAAUGGUCCCCAUUUGUAAGCUUCUUGAAAAUUUGCUCUGCC